rnacentral:rRNA from 1 species
AAGAAAAUAACUAUGAUUCCCUUAGUAGUGGCGAAUGAACAGGGAUCAGUUCAAGUAUUUAAUCCUGCACCUUGGUGCUAGGAAUUGUUGUCUUCUGAUAGAGUCCGUGUCGUCAUCCCGGCUAGGUUUUAUUGAAAUAUAGCGUCAUAGAGGGUUAUAACCCCGUCCGCUGGGAUAGUGUGCACUAGCGAUUCGUCAAGAGUGAGUCGUGCUACUUGGGACUGUAGCACUAAUUGGGAGGUAAUGUCCUUCUAAAACUAAAUAUUACUCUGAGACCGAUAGCGAACAAGUACCGUGAGGGAAAGAUGAAAAGGAAUUUGAAAAGAAUGUGAAAAGUACGUGAAAUCGUUAGUUGAAAGCGAAUAGCAUACCUUUGACGUGUACCUUUUGAUAGUUACGGUGUUGUUUUCAUACCUGUAUGUGACUUCUCCACGCUUUCUUUUGGUAGAGGAUUGAUUGCUUCUUCUCGUCUGUUGUCGUGUGUCGAUUUCCUUGCUCGUUCGCGAAAUGUGGCGAGCUUGGCUAUUUACUCCUUCAGCUUGCGUUUGAGCGUCUUGACGUCAUCAGUGUUGUUAUCCGACCCGUCUUGAAACACGGACCAAGGAGUCUAACGUAUGUGCGAGUAUUUGAGUUGUAAACUCUUCUGCGUAGAGAAAUCGAUUGUUAAUAACACUUAGUGUUCCUUAACGGCUGUUUUGAUUCUUCGGAUGAUGGCUACUCGCUUGAGCAUGUAUGUUGGGACCCGA